rnacentral:ncRNA from 1 species
CCUCUGGAGUGUUAUAUCAAACGAAAGUAGUCGCAGUUUGGCAAAAUCGGACACGUUGAACGAGGAA